AGAAAACGACGUGAUUUAUAUUAAAAAUGGUGGCACCUUAUGGAAAUAUAUUACAAAAUCUGUAACAGCAUCACUGGAAUUCUAUUACAAAAUGGAAGCUAAAAGAGAGCAAUAGAUGGGAAUUACUAUAUAGUGCUGAAAGGAGAAAAUACAUGAGCCUCAUAAUGAUCUGAUAAUGUCUGAAAUGGAUUUUUUAGUAUCUUCUAUCUUUGCUGAAUCAAAAUCCCCCAACUCCAAAGGCAAUUGACCUGUGCCAUCACUAUCAACCUCCCCUUCAAGUGUCAAGCCUUCGAUUUUCGCAGCAAUGGCAUUUUCUUUCACGGGUACGUCAAUGUCUGUGGUCCAAAGUAAAAAUAAUCUAUCACGGGUACAUUUAACUUCAUUCUACAUUGAAACUGUUGAAGACAUAAUAUAAAUAUAACAAUUUGUUCAUGAGAAAAAUGGGUUAAAUGCGCUAAUGGCCACCAAACUUUGCAUUUAGUGUCAUUAUGGCCGUUCAAUUUGAUUUUAUUUUAUCAUAAUCAC
rnacentral:lncRNA from 1 species